UACAGAGGGUGCGAGCGUUAAUCGGAAUUACUGGGCGUAAAGCGCACGUAGGUGGCGACGUAAGUCGGGUGUGAAAUCCCUGGGCUCAACCUGGGAACGGCAUUCGAGACUGUGUUGCUGGAGUACGGAAGAGGAGGGCGGAAUUCCCGGUGUAGAGGUGAAAUUCGUAGAUAUAGGAAGGAACACCAGUGGCGAAGGCGACCACCUGGACUGAUACUGACACUGAGGUGCGAAAGCGUGGGGAGCAAACAGG
rnacentral:rRNA from 1 species